CUUCCGCCCCCCGUAAUGGGAGUGGUUGUCAGUCACGCCGCGCCCGGGGAGAGUCGCCGCGGCUUCCGGGAGCUCCAAAUACAGCCGGGCGCAGAGGCGGGGGGAGGGAGCGCUGCGCCACCGGGGUGUGCGGAGUGAAAAUAAAGGGGAGCCGAAGGGAGCUGGGUGGGGAGGUGGAGGAGAGGAGGGGCAGAUGGGCCGUGGGAGAAGGGUGCAGGAGAUGAGGAAGGCAGAGGCUGGGGGAGGAAGCGCCUGCCAAGGAGAGAAUUCCCUGCAGCAGGCAGUAAUGCAAAGAGGUCUGGAAGGAUCUGGAGGCUCCUGACUGAAGGGGACACAGAAAGGUUGGGUCCCCGUGGGUUUGGGAUCUGUGCAGGGAGGUGGGCAGCGGGACAGGCCUGUGCGUCCCCAUCCCCCAGUCUAAGGGAAAAGGCCGGUUUUGGGGGAGGGGAGCAGUUAGACAUCUGAUGCUUUAGCGAGGCAUCAAGAUCAGAUGCAUUUAUAACUCGCAACCUUGUUUCUAAAAAGUAUUUUAUACACAGCAACUUUUAAAAGUUGCUUGAUUUAGAAACAAAUGUAACCAAAUACAGUUUACUUCCCAAAAUGUUAUUUGUAGCCAUUUUCCCUUUAUAUAUUGAUCGUAAUGGGAAAUUAAACUCCUUUCCGUUUACAUUAUUAGAUUGGUGACCAUUGAUUUUGAAUUUUCAUUAGCGUUUGUGUGAAAAUUCUAACUGAAAGGAUGAAAGGAUGAACUUAAGGUGUCCAUGGUUGAAUACCUAGGACCUAAUCGCAGACCAGAAAAAAGGGGUGGAGGAUGUGACUGACUCUUUCCUAAAGCAAAGUCUCCAAAGACGAAUCUCUGAAAAGCCAGCGUCUCUCUCAAUGUUGAAAUUGCAUCUUACUCAGUUCUGUGCGUGGCACGCCUUAUUCUGACCCAGUAGGUCGCAAUUUAAAUGAAGGUCAUUCCUAUUACAAGUUUCUGUCUCCCAGCAGUGGACUGUGUAGUGGCUCUUCGGUGUCCUAGGUCUGCACGAUGCUUACGUGGCACAUCAGAGUCAGCAUCAUGCCUACCUUGCAUAAGGAUCAGCCCUGAAGGUUCUGGAAUGGGAAAGAAGAGAAAGAUUCUGGGCUUUUCUAAAUCUCGUAAGUCUUUCUUAAGAUUCUAACCUGAACCUGUCUCUCUCCUUAGCAGAUGAUCUCUUUAUCUGUUGUACCAGGAAGAGGAUUUUAAUUUCUACUCCUUCAAUUUUUCCCUCUUUACCUAGAAAUUUCUCCUGUCUUCUCUGCAAUCUUUAUU
rnacentral:lncRNA from 1 species